CCUACGGGCGGCAGCAGUGAGGAAUAUUGGUCAAUGGACGAGAGUCUGAACCAGCCAAGUCGCGUGAAGGAUGACUGCCCUAUGGGUUGUAAACUUCUUUUAUAAAGGAAUAAAACGAGGCACGUGUGCCUUUUUGCAUGUACUUUAUGAAUAAGGAUCGGCUAACUACGUGCCAGCAGCCGCGGUCAUACGGAGGAUGCGAGCGUUAUCCGGAUUUAUUGGGGUUAAAGGGAGAGUAGAUGGGUAGUUAAGUCAGUUGUGAAAGUCUGCGGCUCAACCGUAAAAUUGCAAUUGAUACUGGCAGUCUUGAGUACAGGUGAGGUAGGCGGAAUUCGUGGUGUAGCGGUGAAAUGCUUAGAUAUCACGAAGAACCCCGAUUGCGAAGGCAGCUUACUAAACUGUGACUGACAUUGAUGCUCGAAAGUGUGGGGAUCAAACAGGAUUAGAUACCCUAGUAGUC
rnacentral:rRNA from 1 species